AAGGCUUACCGUCCGUCGCCCGCAGGUGCGGCCCCUGACAUGCCCGAAGGCAGCGGCCGUCGGCAGCAGCGUCCCCGGCGAGGGAAGCCCUCCGCCAGACGGUAACCAAGUGAAAGGUGACGCCAGCCUCGUUCUAAAUUUAGUCCAGGGACCGAGCUGAGAAUAGCAAGGGUCACGUGGGGCGGCAGUGCCCAGGAUCAGCUGAGGCUGCCUGCACACAACCGACGACAGCGUCCGGAGGCGGGCAGCCUGCCUCUCCCCAGCCUCCCGGGGAGUCAGAAGCCCUGCUCCGAGCCCCGCUGCGCCUCCUGGCCGCCCCAUUUCUAGUAUUUCAGGGGAUUGAAUGGCCCCGUUCCAAGAGAGGACCUGGGAAAUGAGAGCGUGUAUGGCGGAACAAUACCUCUACUGGUGAGAGAGAACCAUUGAUGUGAGGGAGCAACGCCGAUCCAUUGCCCCCUGUCGCGCCCCAACCGGGGACGGAACCGGCAACCUAGUGGUAUGAGUGAGCCAUUUGCAAUGAACACUUGAAAAAGAAAAACGGUGACCCACGCUCUGUUAAAUCGCCAAUGAACUUGAAAGCACUACAGAGGCGGGUCAACAAAGGGAUUCUAAUGCGCUCUAAAACGGACACGACUCCACACUGGAAGUGGAACUCAUCUUCGCCAAAAACGUAGAAUAAAUGUCUCCCCAAUUACAGGAGGUUUGAAGGGUCCUUCCCUCCUCUAGAUACUUUUCCU